rnacentral:rRNA from 1 species
UGGGGAAUCUUGCGCAAUGGACGAAAGUGUGACGGAGCGACGCCGCGUGUAGGACGAAGCCCUUCGGGGUGUAAACUACUGUCAGGGGAAAGAAAGAACUGAUCUACCCCAGAGGAAGGCACGGCUAACUCUGUGCCAGCAGCCGCGGUAAGACAGAGGUGCCGAGCGUUAGGCGGAAUCAAUGGGCUUAAAGCGAGUGUAGGCGGAUGCCUAAGUACCUUGGGAAAUCCCACGGCUUAACGGGGGACC